rnacentral:lncRNA from 1 species
AAUCUGGGUUUUUUAUUCCACUAAUCUGUGUUUGUAUUUUUUCCCCUCUGGCUGCAGGCAGUGGCCCUUGGUGGUUUCUACAGGGAUAAUUGCUGUUCAUGGAGCAUUUGUUGGAUGCAAAAGCUGAAAACCCUGUGCAGUGAGGCAAGCCAGCACAGCUCAGUGUGUGGACUUUCAGGAGCUUUUCUGCAAUAAGGAAGCAGGAAGAUCUACAAGAGAAAAAUACAUGAAGGCAUCUGUGAAGCAAAUUGCUUUUAUUAUCUACAGCAUUGAGGGAGAAGCUGUCAACAUUAGACAACAAACACUGCGAAGCAGAGUCUGAGCAUUUGCGUCUCCUCUGCAAGCUGGGAAGAGAGGAAACAUCCUUACUGAGUUACGGGUGACCUCCAACUAGCCACAACUUAAUGUCAUCUGGUAAGAGUGAUGUGGAGACAA